AUUGAACGCUGGCGGCAGGCUUAACACAUGCAAGUCGAACGAGAACGCACCUUCGGGUGUUAUUAGAGUGGCAAACGGGUGAGUAACACGUGGGAACGUACCUUUCAGUCUGGAAUAGCCCCGGGAAACUGGGAUUAAUGCCGGAUAUUCUCUACGGAGGAAAGAUUUAUCGCUGAAAGAUCGGCCCGCGUUAGAUUAGUUUGUUGGUGAGGUAACGGCUCACCAAGACUACGAUCUAUAGCUGGUCUGAGAGGAUGAUCAGCCACACUGGGACUGAGAUACGGCCCAG
rnacentral:rRNA from 1 species